GUCUUCUGUUAGGCCAGGGUUUUUCAAUUUGUUGGUUUAUAGUUUGAAUUUAUAACGGAUUAAAUAAAAUGCAAGACACACAUUUCUGCAUGUCUAAAACAUGACUUGAUUUAUACAUAGUAUGGGCCUUUUCUUUUUAAUACAUUACUCUAAGAGCAAUGGAUUGGCCAAUCUAACUCAAUCAUUUAACCUGCAAGUGGGAAAAAUGAAUGGAGAGAGAAAGGUUGUCCCUACGGAAGAUGCACAGGGAACUUUUUCUUUCUGUGUGUUUCUCAUUUAUUAUGUGUCAAUUCAUUUUUUUUUUAGUUCUGUAAAUUAUGAAAUUUAU
rnacentral:lncRNA from 1 species